GUGUCAGCCGCCGCGGUAAUACGAAGGGGGCUAGCGUUGUUCGGAUUUACUGGGCGUAAAGCGCGCGUAGGCGGGUCGCUAAGUCAGGGGUGAAAUGCCGAGGCUCAACCUCGGAACUGCCUUUGAUACUGACGACCUGGAGUUCGGGAGAGGUGAGUGGAAUUCCGAGUGUAGAGGUGAAAUUCGUAGAUAUUCGGAGGAACACCAGAAGCGAAGGCGGCUCACUGGCCCGAUACUGACGCUGAGGCGCGAAAGCGUGGGGAGCAAACAGGAUUAGAUACCCUAGUAGUCC
rnacentral:rRNA from 1 species